UCUGCUCUGGUCAGGACUUUGCACACGU
rnacentral:piRNA from 1 species